AUUCUCUGCGACGACAAAGAGAAAGUAAACAGGAAACGAAAGGAACAAUUACAGUUGUAUGAAGUUUUCUUGAAUCUUCAACUGGAACUGUUUUCGCAGCGAAGCUUUUCAAGCGGAAAAACAUGGAGGAGACUAUUUAAAAAAUCACAAUGGCAGUUGCCGGCCUGUUUUCUGUGACCUUGACAACCACCAAUCCCUGGCUUGUUUUAGGAGUCGUCGGUUUGGUGUGUGCAACAGUUAUUGCAGUGAAGGGAAUGCAGUCAGGCAGAGA